rnacentral:rRNA from 25 species
UAAACGACUCUCGGCAACGGAUAUCUCGGCUCUCGCAUCGAUGAAGAACGUAGCGAAAUGCGAUACUUGGUGUGAAUUGCAGAAUCCCGUGAACCAUCGAGUUUUUGAACGCAAGUUGCGCCCGAAACCAUUAGGUCGAGGGCACGCCUGCCUGGGCGUCUCAC